rnacentral:rRNA from 1 species
UACGUAGGGGGCAAGCGUUGUCCGGAUUUAUUGGGCGUAAAGAGCUCGUAGGCGGUGUGUCACGUCGGCCGUGAAAACCUGCAGCUUAACUGUGGGCGUGCGGUCGAUACGGGCAUCACUGGAGUUCGGCAGGGGAGACUGGGAUUCCUGGUGUAGCGGUGAAAUGCGCAGAUAUCAGGAGGAACACCGGUGGCGAAGGCGGGUCUCUGGGCCGAUACUGACGCUGAGGAGCGAAAGCGUGGGGAGCAAACAGG